ACGACGCUGGCGGCGUGCCUAAUACAUGCAAGUUGAACGCAACAAAGACACCAGAGCUUGCUCUACCGUCUUUGUUGAGUAGCGAACGGGUGAGUAACGCGUGGGUAACCUGCCUUAUAGCGGGGAUAACUAUUGGAAACGAUAGCUAAUACCGCAUAACAAUAGAGAUUGCAUAAUCUUUAUUUGAAAGUGCCAACUGGUACACUAUGAGAUGGACCCGCGUUGUAUUAGCUAGUUGGUAGUGUAAUGGACUACCAAGGCGAUGACACAUAGCCGACCUGAGAGGGUGAUCGGCCACAUUGGGACUGAGACACGGCCCAAACUCCUACGGGAGGCAGCAGUAGGGAAUCUUCGGCAAUGGACGAAAGUCUGACCGAGCAACGCCGCGUGAGUGAAGAAGGUUUUCGGAUCGUAAAACUCUGUUGUUAGAGAAGAAUGUUGAUUAGAGUGGAAAAUUAAUCAAGUGACGGUAUCUAACCAGAAAGGGACGGCUAACUACGUG
rnacentral:rRNA from 1 species